UAUAAUUUAAUGUAAAAUGCAUGUAGAAUUUUGAAUUCUUUAGAUUUGGUUUAAUUCCAAUAAUUAUAA
rnacentral:tRNA from 1 species